AACGAACGCUGGCGGCAGGCUUAACACAUGCAAGUCGAGCGCCCCGCAAGGGGAGCGGCAGACGGGUGAGUAACGCGUGGGAAUCUACCCAUCUCUACGGAAUAACGCAUGGAAACGUGUGCUAAUACCGUAUACGUCCUUCGGGAGAAAGAUUUAUCGGAGAUGGAUGAGCCCGCGUUGGAUUAGCUAGUUGGUGGGGUAAAGGCCUACCAAGGCGACGAUCCAUAGCCGGUCUGAGAGGAUGAUCAGCCACACUGGGACUGAGACACGGCCCAGACUCCUACGGGAGGCAGCAGUGGGGAAUAUUGGACAAUGGGCGCAAGCCUGAUCCAGCCAUGCCGCGUGAGUGAUGAAGGCCCUAGGGUUGUAAAGCUCUUUCACCGGUGAAGUUAAUGACGGUAACCGGAGAAGAAGCCCCGGCUAACUUCGUGCCAGCCGCCGCAGUAAAAC
rnacentral:rRNA from 1 species